rnacentral:lncRNA from 1 species
CCCUCAUCACUCCGCAGUCUGCCCCCCAGCCCACUGAUAGCAACCAUCAUAAUGCCCCGCCCAGCUUGCGGCACCUUUUGCCACUCCGGCACAACACACAAACCAACACAGCUUUGCGAUCUCCCCAGCAUGCAGAGUCUGAUGUCAAUGUCUUCCCUAUAGAUGGUAUGCUUUUAAAAUAGUUGUAAAGCUUCAUCACAAUGUCAUUGUACUCUUAUCUUCAAAACACCAAUUUAUACUCCUGAAUGUCAUGUUGUUGUGAUUUUUUUUUUUUUUUUUUGUAGAUUCCAGAGACUCUGUGAGGCCACUAUUACAAGGCAAGUUUGAAAAUCUUGGAAUUUCACUGUUUACAUGGUAUAAAUGGUAAAUGGCCUAUAUUUGUAUAGCGCUUUUACUAGUCUCUAAGGACCCCAAAGCGCUUUACACAUUCAGUCAUCCACCCAUUCACACACACAUUCACACACUGGUGAUGGCAAGCUACAUAUGCAAAUAUCAAAUAUAUGUGACAGGAAAAAACUAGUAAACACUUUUAGCAGUUACAACAACUUAUACUUGAAUGCAGAAUGUUACAGCAUCACUUAUGGAUAUAUUCGUUUUUCGACUCCCAUUGCUUAAGCCAUUAAUCUUUCUAGAAUUGUUCUUUGAAACACAUGCAACCUCACAAAAGAUGUUAACGAUGCUGUCAGACCUGACCAGAGCAGAUAACGAACUCCUUGAGGAGGUCAGAGCCAACCGCCAUCCCUGCUGCAAUGAAAAUGUAGAUGCUGGGGUAUUGCCUCUGGAUUUGCCCUUGCACAACAUGGAGGAGCUAAACAAUGCAGAGGCAGCUCAUCAAUCACCGGAGGCAAAUAAGGCAAUGGUUAGACGCUUUGCCUUGAUUGGAGGGACCACACUGGAGGUGCGAGUCCAUCGCACCGCCAAACGAGCUGGCCUCGGUACUCAACUGGACAGGGAACAAACCAAGGACCAGACAGAGCAAAAAAGGGCAUUUAAAGAGACAGCGCUGUGCAGAUGCAUAUUCGGUAAGUUUUACCGUUUAUUGUAGUUUUAUGAGCCUAAAGUGAACAACAAAGGGAUCAACUGAUGUGCUGGGUGCGUUUCACAUUUCCUAUGUCCGGUUUUUGCUAUAUUACUUUGUCUUUCUUAAUAACAAUUCAUGUCCGGUUAAUCUGGAGAUGGAGUCUUUGGUCUUUGGCUUGUUUUGUCCUCAGGCUGUACACGAGAACCCCAUGUUGUCUGUCUUUUUUUAAAGGAUAGACGACACACCAUGCUAAGACAUAUCACAUUUCAGCUCAUAGCUCUUUAUCAGCCUAGGAGUUUACAUACCUUCUCACUGCUGGAGACAAUUAACAAGAGCUUAUUCAUGUGGUCUGAUUCACUUUUUUUGUCUUUUUUUGUGUGUGUGUGUGUGUCUAUUUUUGUCCUAGAUGGCCUGACGCAGCAGGUAGGGGUGAACUCUAUGUCUGAGUUUGUCUUUGCUCAAGCAGUCCAAAAAUGGCUCAGAUACGCUCCGGAUCGUAUGGGUGGCGCAGGACGCACAUCAUCCAUCCCCAUCCCCGAGUAAAAAUUUGACGUGAAACAUAGAAAUCUUAAUACGAAACUUUGUCUUUUAAUAAAGUCUUUUGUAAACGAUACAUGUCUAUUGACCUUUUUUUUCUUUAGUUUUUUUUCUCUGUUACAUGUGUGAUGCUGUUUUUAGAAUGUUUGACAUGAUACAUUGUGAGACAUUUUUUAACAUAGAAAGGGUGUCCAAUUUGAGGAAUAAGUACAAUUAUAUGUUUAGGUGGUUUAAGUAUUGAUGGAAACAUGCCUAUAAAGAACGGUAGAUUUCCAGUCAUGAUUUAACUUUUGUUUCAAUAAAAAGCAACUGCGAAAGAGGUGGAAAAUCAACAUCAUAGUUCAACAGUGUUUCAAUAUCAGAAUCUGACAUUGUUUCAAUGUCAACAGUAUUAGAAAAUAUAGCAUCCAAUCAAUGUCAGCUUUCAACAUUGAUUCAAUAUCAAAACCUGACGUUGUUUCAAUAACAAUAAAGGGUGCAAGAGUGACGUUAGGUCAACGUCACACCUCAACGUUGAUUCAAUGACAUCGCCUGAUAUUGACUAAACAUUGUUUCAAUGUUUCCUUGCUAUCUGGGAAAUAAAUCAUAUAAUACGAAAACCAACUAUUUACAUUUCAACUUUUAACUAUUUAAAUUUUCAGCUUUUUCCUUUUAAACAAAUUUGAAGUGAAACAACACAAAACACUGCAAACCACAACACAAUUAAAUAUAAAUUAAAAUAUGAAAACAAAAUGAAGAUGCAUAUUCUCUGUCAUAUAGGCCUCCAUGAAUAAACUUUCUGAAUCCUUUAUCAUCCACAACUGAAAAUGGUUGUGGAUGAUUACUAUACCUUUCUAAUGUGACAUCCCUGGCUCUCUUUCUCUCACUUUCCCUCCGGCUCUGUUCCUGUGCUACUACGAGUGUAACUACUGCCCCUCCCCCCUCUUCCCAGCGCAAGCACAAGGCUCGCGUGCGGAGUGAAGCAGAAAAAAAAGGGCGAGAGGGUGAGAGAAAGAAAAAACAAAACACGGCGCCCAAUAAGGAGCCGGCUCGCGUCGUUCACUUCAAAGAGCUGGCUCUAAGAGCCAUUUCGUUCGCGACCGACACAUCACUACAUCAAACAGCCCUACAGACAAAAAAACAUCCCGACUAUCAGCAGUGAUUUAACUACUUUAAGACCUCUGUGAAAAUCAUUUACAGUAUAUAUCACAGAAUUUAAGGCCUUUAUAAGCACAGAGCAUACAGAGAAAAGUACUAAACUGAAUCAAUUUCAGACAGCCUGUCCCUGUCCAACUAAUCAGAGAGCUCCUUACAUCCCAUGGUGUGGCUAAUUUGCAUUGCAGCAGGAUUUUUAAAAUGAAGUUGCUAAUCCAAAUGUUAAUCCCUG